rnacentral:rRNA from 1 species
GAUGAACGCUGGCGGCGUGCCUAAUACAUGCAAGUCGAGCGAACGGACGAGAAGCUUGCUUCUCUGAUGUUAGCGGCGGACGGGUGAGUAACACGUGGAUAACCUACCUAUAAGACUGGGAUAACUUCGGGAAACCGGAGCUAAUACCGGAUAAUAUUUUGAACCGCAUGGUUCAAAAGUGAAAGACGGUCUUGCUGUCACUUAUAGAUGGAUCCGCGCUGCAUUAGCUAGUUGGUAAGGUAACGGCUUACCAAGGCAACGAUGCAUAGCCGACCUGAGAGGGUGAUCGGCCACACUGGAACUGAGACACGGUCCAAACUCCUACGGGAGGCAGCAGGAGGGAAUCUACCGCAAUGGGCGAAAGCCUGACGGAGCAACGCCGCGUGAGUGAUGAAGGUCUUCGGAUCGUAAAACUCUGUUAUUAGGGAAGAACAUAUGUGUAAGUAACUGUGCACAUCUUGACGGUACCUAAUCAGAAAGCCACGGCUAACUACGUG